ACCGAAAAGCCACUCACCUGAACCCCGCGUGGAACAUGAUCCUCGGACCCCCCAUGUCGUACUUGGAGGAGCUGAGGAAGCUGUCUUUGCGCAGCGACACAUAACUGAUGAGGGAGAGGAUGAGCAGAGCGACGCUGAGGAUGACCAGACCCAGGGCGUUCGCGAUACGCACCAUCUUGGUGCCUUCUCAUUCCCCUGCCAGGGCCUAUGCAGUCAUCGGAAGGGGGAGAUUUGGGGAAGAGCAUAUUUGUGGCUGAUCUCAAUGCUGUUCCGACUUGGCGAUAUCCACCAGCAUGUGACCCACUUUCAAGUUUACCUGAUGAUGUUUACUUCAGAGACGCUGUUGUAAUUCCUGUUUGGAAACCUGGACAUUUCUUGUUAUCUAAACCUUUGUCAGUCUCUCAGCCCUGGGCCAUGGAAAGAGACGACUGGUUUGGACAUCGAGGGCUUUCCACGGCAAAAGUAUGGCAUCGACUGUGGCAUCUCCAUGUUGAUGUAUGCCCUUUACAAAGUCAUGGAUGCACCCUUUGACUUCACUGUUACUGAUAUGCCAUCGUUGAGAAAAUGGUGGUGUAUCAUGCUGAUUGAAAAUCUUGACCUUGGAAGCCAUGGCAAACUCUUUGCCCACUGGACUGACGCAUCUAAGGCUCUUCUUCGGGGUGAGGUGCCACCAGUUUUUAAACUGAAGAAGAGAAGGCGAGAUGACAUUCAUGAGGGGCCACUUGACAACAUUGUGGCUGGAGUUGCCUGGCUGCGUCAGAAUGCAGGUUUGCUCAGGGGGAAGGUGGUCGAGCCCGCAUUUCCGAAUAUGGACGCAAAAGAACAGCAGGAGCUCCUGGAAAGGAUACGUUCUUCAACUGAUGAAGAAGAAAAGCAUCCCCUGCUCUUCACAUAUGAUUUUCAGGAAGACAUGGAGGUCUUCCUUAACAUGGCAGCUGAGGAGGAUCUUCGGGUCAACGCCAUGUUUCUGUGUGUGUGUGUGUGUGUGUGUGUGUGUGUGUGUGUGUGUGUGUGUGUGUGUGUGUGUGUGUGUGUGUGUGUGUGUGUGUGUUGAGGUUCUGAGUUCAGUUAUAUGUUGAGUGUUCUUAAUAAAGUGUUAUAACGUU